rnacentral:rRNA from 1 species
GACGAACGCUGGCGGCGUGCUUAACACAUGCAAGUCGAACGGAAAGGCCUGCUUUCCCUUGUGGAUUGCGGGUACUCGAGUGGCGAACGGGUGAGUAACACGUGAGUGAUCUGCCCCCAACUUGGGUAUAAGCCUGGGAAACUGGGUCUAAUUCCCGAUAGGACUGCAGGGUGGUGCCUGUGGUGGAAAACGAUUUUCUAGUGGUUGGGGAUGAGCUCGCGGCCUAUCAGCUUGUUGGUGGGGUAAUGGCCUACCAAGGCGGCGACGGGUAGCCGGCCUGGGAGGGUGGACGGCCACAUUGGGACUGAGAUACGGCCCAGACUCCUACGGGAGGCAGCAGUGGGGAAUAUUGCACAAUGGGCGGAAGCCUGAGGCGGCGACGCCGCGUGGGGGAUGCCGGCCUUCGGGUUGUAAACUCCUUUCGACCGCGAGGAAGCCACCUGGUUGGAAGGGUGGUGACGGUAGUGGUAGAAGAAGCACCGGCUAACUACGUG